CCUACGGGUGGCUGCAGUGAGGAAUAGUGGUCAAUGGACGAGAGUCUGAACCAGCCAAGUAGCGUGAAGGAUGACUGCCCUAUGGGUUGUAAACUUCUUUUAUAAAGGAAUAAAACGAGGCACGUGUGCCUUUUUGCAUGUACGGUAUGAAUAAGGAUCGGCGAACGCCGUGCCAGAAGCCGCGGUAAUACGGAGGAUCCGUGCGUUAUCCGGAUUAAUUGGGUUUAAAGGGAGCGGAGAUGGGUUGUUAAGUCAGUUGUGAAAGUUUGCGGCUCAACCGUAAAAUUGCAAUUGUUACUGGCAGUCUUGUGUACAGUUGCGGUCGGCGGCAUUCGUGUUGUAGCGG
rnacentral:rRNA from 1 species